rnacentral:rRNA from 1 species
UACGGAGGAGGCAAGCGUUAUCCGGAAUUAUUGGGCGUAAAGCGUCCGUAGGUGGCUCUCUCAAGUCUGCUGUCAAAGACCGGGGCUUAACUUCGGAAAGGCAGUGGAAACUGAACAGCUAGAGUAUGGUAGGGGCAGAGGGAAUUCCUGGUGUAGCGGUGAAAUGCGUAGAGAUCAGGAAGAACAUCGGUGGCGAAGGCGCUCUGCUGGACCAUAACUGACACUCAGGGACGAAAGCUAGGGGAGCGAAUGGG